UGCCAGCCGCCGCGGUAAUACGGAGGGUGCAAGCGUUGUUCGGAAUUAUUGGGCGUAAAGCGCGUGUAGGCGGUUCGUUAAGUCUGAUGUGAAAGCCCGGGGCUCAACCCCGGAAGUGCAUUGGAAACUGGCGAACUUGAGUACGGGAGAGGAAAGUGGAAUUCCGAGUGUAGGGGUGAAAUCCGUAGAUAUUCGGAGGAACACCUGUGGCGAAGGCGGUCUACCAGAACACGUCCGACGGUGAGGGAUGAAAGCUGGGGGAGCAAACCGGAUUAGAUA
rnacentral:rRNA from 1 species